rnacentral:rRNA from 1 species
CAGCAGCCGCGGUAAUACGUAGGGUGCGAGCGUUGUCCGGAAUUAUUGGGCGUAAAGAGCUCGUAGGCGGCUUGUCGCGUCGAAUGUGAAAGCCCGGGGCUUAACUCCGGGUCUGCAUUCGAUACGGGCAGGCUAGAGUGUGGUAGGGGAGAUCGGAAUUCCUGGUGUAGCGGUGAAAUGCGCAGAUAUCAGGAGGAACACCGGUGGCGAAGGCGGAUCUCUGGGCCAUUACUGACGCUGAGGAGCGAAAGCGUGGGGAGCGAACAGGAUUAGAUACCCCCGUAGUCCCUGUCUCUUAUAA